UACGAAGGGGGCUAGCGUUGUUCGGAAUUACUGGGCGUAAAGCGCGCGCAGGCUGUUUUGUAAGUUGGGGGUGAAAUCCCCGGGCUCAACCCGGGAAUGGCCUUCAAGACUGCAAGACUGGAGGACGAGAGAGGUGAGUGGAAUUCCCAGUGUAGAGGUGAAAUUCGUAGAUAUUGGGAAGAACACCGGUGGCGAAGGCGGCUCACUGGCUCGUUUCUGACGCUGAGGCGCGAAAGCGUGGGGAGCAAACAGG
rnacentral:rRNA from 1 species